CCGAAGCUUACCUGGUGGAUGAGAAAAACUGACCACAUACACAAUGCAGAGUAAACAUCCGCAGACCACUGCUGCUCUUGAAGUAGCUUGCUUAAUUCAGGUCCAGAAUCUAAAUUUACUGCUGAAGACCCUAAGGCACCUGAGGGAACCCUGAGAAGCAGAACUGGCUGGAUCUCUUUUCUCCUUCUGGGCUUCUUUUUCAUCCAGGAUCACUCUGGCUUCCUGAGUUCUGGUUGCUCAGGAGGUGCUGCUAAGCUGGCGUUUGCCCUCACCGGCUGAUGCUACUCAAGCCACGACGGCUCCUUGGUAAAUGGGCCCCACUGACUUGCCAGCUAGAAACUGCGUCUCUGGGGCGGCUGCUCAGCCACAGAACCAGAGACCCCUCCUGGCCAGAUGCGCAGUGGAGCAGCGCCUGCCGCCUUGAAGCUGUUUUUGUGUCCUUCCCACUCCUCCCUCCCCUCUCCGAGCCAAGCCACCCUCUCCCCCGCCCUCAUUCCCAGGCCGGUGCGAGACUUCCUCCGGAGCGGACGUGGGCGGGGUGAUGGAGACAGAGACCAGCAGCCGCCACUGCUGAGGCCAGAACGGCAGGCAGCUGCUGAACAUCUCCUCCACAGCUGCCAGGGAACGGAGGGGGCGAGACGAGGGAAUCGCUGAGGAGGGGGAGGAGAGAGAGUUCUGCGAGGGCAGGAAGGAUGGAGAGAAGAGGCAGGGCGGGAUGCAGCUUUGACUGUGGAGCGGUGGGAAUAGGAGGGAGGAGAGGGCCGGGGAAGAGAAGAAGGAGAACAACUCAAGUUUUAGCCUUUGGGUGCUUUCUCUCUGGCCUUGCCCAGGAGAGCUUGUCAGGGCCAAUUAUCAGCCUGCAUUCAAAUCUGAACUUUGCUUAGGUGUGGGGGUGGACGGGGGUUGGGGGGGGAGGUAGCUGUUUAGGAAAGCGUGGCUUGGAGCUAACCACAACCUCACUCUAGAUUUCUUUCCCACUCUGGUGAUGUGAGUUAUGAAGGGCAGAGGAAAACAUUAUGCAUACCUGGAAAAACUGGUGUGCAACAGUGAAGUCUGGGGGUGAAGGGAAAAGGUGUUGGGCCUUCUUUCCCAAGUGGACUUUGGAAACUUUGCUAUGCCAUAGAACGUUCAUUUUAUAACCCUGUCUUGUUUGAAAAUGGUGAAGUUUCCUUAAAAAAAAAGAAAGAAAAAAGAAAGAAAGAAAGAAAGAAAGAAAGAAAGAAAGAUUUCUACAACACACCAAGAAAAGACAACAAAAAUGAGGAAAAGGGAAAAGAAAUCAUAUAUGCUUCUAAGAGGCUCCAAGUUUAUAUUCCAACGUGUGGGACAGAGGGGCAAAGUGGAACUAAACUAACAUUGGUUCUGUGCAAAUCAUGUCAGAGACUGCAUGUUUCAUCCAUGAUUCACAGAAGAGGCCUUGUGACAUGUACUUUCCUGGUUUAAAUUUUACACGUUAUAAAAAAUUUCAAACAUAAACAAAAAUACAAGGAAAAUAUAAUAAACUCCUAUGUACUCAUCA